CCUACGGGCGGCAGCAGUGGGGAAUAUUGGACAAUGGGGGGAACCCUGAUCCAGCCAUGCCGCGUGUGUGAAGAAGGCCCUCGGGUUGUAAAGCACUUUCAGUGAGGAAGAACGCCUGGUGGUUAAUACCCAUCAGGAAAGACAUCACUCACAGAAGAAGCACCGGCUAACUCCGUGCCAGCAGCCGCGGUAAUACGGAGGGUGCGAGCGUUAAUCGGAAUUACUGGGCGUAAAGCGCGCGUAGGUGGCUUGAUAAGCCGGUUGUGAAAGCCCCGGGCUCAACCUGGGAACGGCAUCCGGAACUGUCAAGCUAGAGUGCAGGAGAGGAAGGUAGAAUUCCCGGUGUAGCGGUGAAAUGCAUAGAGAUCGGGAGGAAUACCAGUGGCGAAGGCGGCCUUCUGGACUGACACUGACACUGAGGUGCGAAAGCGUGGGUAGCAAACAGGAUUAGAUACCCUGGUAGUC
rnacentral:rRNA from 1 species